UACAGAGGGUGCAAGCGUUGCUCGGAAUUAUUGGGCGUAAAGGGCAGGUAGGUGGUCUUAUUUGUCUAGGGUGAAAUCCCCGAGCUUAACUCAGGAAGUGCCCUAGAAACGGUAAGACUGGAGUACUGGAGAGGGUCGUGGAAUUCCCGGUGUAGCGGUGAAAUGCGUAGAGAUUGGGAGGAACACCAGAGGCGAAGGCGGCGACCUGGACAGUGACUGACACUCAACUGCGAAAGCGUGGGGAGCAAACAGG
rnacentral:rRNA from 1 species